rnacentral:rRNA from 1 species
AUUGAACGCUGGCGGAAUGCUUUACACAUGCAAGUCGAACGAUGAACCUUAGCUUGCUAAGGGGAUUAGUGGCGAACGGGUGAGUAAUAUAUCGGAACGUGCCUUGUAAUGGGGGAUAACUAGUCGAAAGAUUAGCUAAUACCGCAUACGCCCUGAGGGGGAAAGUAGGGGAUCUUCGGACCUUACGUUUUAAGAGCGGCCGAUAUCUGAUUAGCUAGUUGGUGGGGUAAUGGCCUACCAAGGCGACGAUCAGUAGCUGGUCUGAGAGGACGACCAGCCACACUGGAACUGAGACACGGUCCAGACUCCUACGGGAGGCAGCAGUGGGGAAUUUUGGACAAUGGGCGCAAGCCUGAUCCAGCCAUUCCGCGUGAGUGAAGAAGGCCUUCGGGUUGUAAAGCUCUUUCGCAAGGGAAGAAAACUUACCAUCGAAUAAAUGGUGAGGCUGACGGUACCUUGAUAAGAAGCACCGGCUAACUACGUG